UACGGAGGGUGCAAGCGUUAUCCGGAUUCACUGGGCUUAAAGGGUGCGUAGGAGGGCAGGUAAGUCAGUGGUGAAAUCUCCAAGCUUAACUUGGAAACUGCCGUUGAUACUAUCUGUCUUGAAUAUUGUGGAGGUGAGCGGAAUAUGUCAUGUAGCGGUGAAAUGCUUAGAUAUGACAUAGAACACCAAUUGCGAAGGCAGCUCACUACUCAAUCAUUGACUCUGAGGCACGAAAGCGUGGGGAUCAAACAGG
rnacentral:rRNA from 1 species